rnacentral:rRNA from 1 species
UACGUAGGUGGCAAGCGUUGUCCGGAUUUACUGGGCGUAAAGGAUGCGUAGGCGGAUGUUUAAGUGAGAUGUGAAAUACCCGAGCUCAACUUGGGUGCUGCAUUUCAAACUGGAUAUCUAGAGUGCAGGAGAGGAAAGCGGGAUUCCUAGUGUAGCGGUGAAAUGCGUAGAGAUUAGGAAGAACACCAGUGGCGAAGGCGGCUUUCUGGACUGUAACUGACGCUGAGGCAUGAAAGCGUGGGGAGCAAACAGG